rnacentral:rRNA from 1 species
ACGGGUGAGUAACACGUAGAUCAUCUCCCCUCGAGUGGUGGAUAACCUUCCGAAAGGAAAGCUAAUACAGCAUGAGACCACGGCUUCGUUGAAGCUGCGGCCAAAGCAGGCCUCUACAUGUAAGCUUGCGCUUGAGGAUGAGUCUGCGGCCCAUCAGCUAGUUGGUAGGGUAAUGGCCUACCAAGGCUAAGACGGGUAGCUGGUCUGAGAGGAUGAACAGCCACACUGGAACUGAGACACGGUCCAGACUCCUACGGGAGGCAGCAGUGGGGAAUCUUGCGCAAUGGGCGAAAGCCUGACGCAGCGACGCCGCGUGAGCGAUGAAGGCCUUCGGGUUGUAAAGCUCUGUGGGGAGGAAAGAAUAAGGCUUGGCUAAUAUCCAAGCUGAUGACGGUACCUCCUUAGCAAGCACCGGCUAACUCUGUGCCAGCAGCCGCGGUAAGACAGAGGGUGCAAACGUUGUUCGGAAUUACUGGGCGUAAAGCGCGUGUAGGCGGCCCUGCAAGUCGGGUGUGAAAUCCCACGGCUCAACCGUGGAAGUGCACUCGAAACUGCAGGGCUAGAGUCCUGGAGAGGAAGGUGGAAUGC